rnacentral:rRNA from 1 species
AUUGAACGCUGGCGGCAUGGCUAAAACAUGCAAGUCGAGCGCGAAAGUGGAGCAAUCCAUGAGUAGAGCGGCGAAAGGGUGAGUAAUAGGUUUCUACGUGCCUUGAGGUCGAGGAUAGCCAGGGGAAACUCUGGGUAAUACUCGAUGUGAUCGAGAGAUCAAAGGCUUGCCGCCUCAAGAGCGGGGAACCUCCUAUCAGGUAGUUGGUGAGGUAACGGCUCACCAAGCCUUUGACGGGUAGCGGGUGUGAGAGCAUGGCCCGCCACAUCGAAACUGAGACACUGUUCGGACUCCUACGGGAGGCUGCAGUAACGAAUC